rnacentral:rRNA from 1 species
CCUACGGGGGGCUGCAGUGGGGAAUAUUGGACAAUGGGCGAAAGCCUGAUCCAGCCAUGCCGCGUGUGUGAAGAAGGCCUUCGGGUUGUAAAGCACUUUCAGUGGGGAAGAAAGCCUUGGGGCUAAUACCCUCGAGGAAGGACAUCACCCACAGAAGAAGCACCGGCUAACUCCGUGCCAGCAGCCGCGGUAAUACGGAGGGUGCGAGCGUUAAUCGGAAUUACUGGGCGUAAAGCGCGCGUAGGCGGUCUGAUAAGUCGGUUGUGAAAGCCCCGGGCUCAACCUGGGAACGGCAUCCGGAACUGUCAGGCUAGAGUGCAGGAGAGGAAGGUAGAAUUCCCGGUGUAGCGGUGAAAUGCGUAGAGAUCGGGAGGAAUACCAGUGGCGAAGGCGGCCUUCUGGACUGACACUGACGCUGAGGUGCGAAAGCGUGGGUAGCAAACAGGAUUAGAUACCCCAGUAGUC